GAGCAUGUGGCCUAGUGGUACGGCGUUGGUCUCCGAAGCCAAAGAUCGCGGGUUCGAACCCCGCCCUGCUCG
rnacentral:tRNA from 1 species